rnacentral:rRNA from 1 species
GAUGAACGCUGGCUACAGGCUUAACACAUGCAAGUCGAGGGGAAACGCCGGGGAAGCUUGCUUCCCCGGGCGUCGACCGGCGCACGGGUGAGUAACGCGUAUCCAACCUGCCUCUGACUGAGGGAUAACCCGUCGAAAGUCGGCCUAAUACCUCAUGGCAUCGUCUGCGGGCAUCCAACGACGAUUAAAGAUUUCAUCGGUCAGAGAUGGGGAUGCGUCUGAUUAGCUUGUUGGCGGGGUAACGGCCCACCAAGGCGACGAUCAGUAGGGGUUCUGAGAGGAAGGUCCCCCACAUUGGAACUGCGACACGGUCCAAACUCCUACGGGAGGGAGCAGUGAGGAAUAUUGGUCAAUGGGCGAGAGCCUGAACCAGCCAAGUAGCGUGCAGGAUGACGGCCCUAUGGGUUGUAAACUGCUUUUAUGCGGGGAUAAAGUGAGGGACGUGUCCUUCAUUGCAGGUACCGAAUGAAUAAGGACCGGCUAAUUCCGUG